GCAGAUCUGGUUGAUUCUGCCGGACCCGACUGCUAUCAGAGUGGGACUAAGCCAUGCGAGUCAACAUAGCAAUAUGUGGCAUACGGCUCAGUAACACGUAGUCAACAUGCCCAGGGGACGUGGAUAACCUCGGGAAACUGAGGAUAAACCGCGAUAAGUCACUACUUCUGGAAUGGGUAAUGACUCAAAUCUAUAUGGCCCCUGGAUUGGACUGCGGCCGAUCAGGCUGUUGGUGAGGUAAUGGCCACCAAACCUGUAACCGGUACGGGCUCUGAGAGGAGGAGCCCGGAGAUGGGCACUGAGACAAGGGCCCAGGCCCUAUGGGGCGCAGCAGGCGCGAAACCUCUGCAAUAGGCGAAAGCUUGACAGGGUUACUCUGAGUGAUUUCCGUUAAGGAAAUCUUUUGGCACCUCUAAAAAUGGUGCAGAAUAAGGGGUGGGCAAGUCUGGUGUCAGCCGCCGCGGUAAUACCAGCACCCCGAGUGGUCGGGACGUUUAUUGGGCCUAAAGCAUCCGUAGCCGGUUCUACAAGUCUUCCGUUAAAUCCAGCUGCUCAACGGUUGGGCUGCGGAGGAUACUACGUGGCUAGGAGGCGGGAGAGGCAAGCGGUACUCAGUGGGUAGGGGUAAAAUCCUUUGAUCCAUUGAAGACCACCAGUGGCGAAGGCGACUUGCCAGAACGCGCUCGACGGUGAGGGAUGAAAGCUGGGGGAGCAAACCGGAUUAGAUACCCGGGUAGUCCCAGCUGUAAACGAUGCAGACUCGGUGAUGGGAUGGCCUCGAGCUAUCCCAGUGCCGCAGGGAAGCCGUUAAGUCUGCCGCCUGGGGAGUACGGUCGCAAGACUGAAACUUAAAGGAAUUGGCGGGGGAGCACCACAAGGGUGAAGCCUGCGGUUCAAUUGGAGUC
rnacentral:rRNA from 1 species